UGAUUUCAGGAUUUGCUAGCUUUCAGCAUUCACGAGGUGAGUCUUCUCACUAUACUGUACCCGGAAGGGUUUGACUGUGUGACCGGAAGGUCGGAUAUGAUAUGUGAUAUGUAUGCUAUAUGUGGUAAGUUAUUUGUUAUAUGUGCUAUGUAUGUUAUGGGCCGGAAGGCGAUUAUAUUAUGGGCCGGAAGGCAAUAUGUUAUGGGCCGGAAGGCAAUAUGUUGUGUGAUGGACCGGAAGGUCGGCGUGGGUAGGACCGGAAGGUUUACCCAGCAGGGACGGAAGUCCCCUGAGACACAUGGACCGGAAGGUCAGGGCCUGGAAAGGCGUAUGUGCGUAAGUUGUAUAUUGGGGAACUCACUAAGCAUUUAUGCUUACAGUUGUUAUGUAUGUGUUUCAGGUACUAGCGAGGACCGUGGGAAGGCGCCGGCGUGAUCGGUACACACUGAAGGAUGUUUUUAUGAUCUUGGGAUUUAGACAAUUUGUAUUUGACAUGACACUUAAAUUAUUUAUGCCUUGUUUUGAAUGGAAAUACUUUAUUUUUAAAAUGAAAAUUUUUUUUGAAAAUUUGCGUUGUUACAAUUGGUAUCAGAGCCAGGUUUGAGGGAUUCGGGUGCACCUUCAGGAGUAACUGAACUCAAACCGAGGAUGUGAGGAAAUUUUCUUUAACUAAAGGCAUAAACUUUUGUAAAAGGUUUUGUGGUAAGCAAGAAGGAAGCUGUGUGUACGAUCAGUCAGCGCCCGAACGGUAAAGAUCCCCAAAAUACCUUACAAUAUUAUAUGAUAUGAAUUGUUAUGCAUGCUAGAAGACUAGGUAUUCAUGAUAGGACUAGAGUGGCCUGAUUUGUGAUGCCUUAGUCUAGGGAAGUUUGCCGAUAUGAGAUGCUUUGCUAGUGUGCGGGUAGAUAGUGCAUAUCAGAAGUAGAGUACUCACUAUCCGGGGUUUGGGGAGGAAGAUUUGGGAUGAAUGCUGAUGCGGUGUGGUCGGUAGUAUUGGGCCCGUACUACCGAAGACACCGGGUCAGUGGGAGACCCAAGUAAGAAUCCCUGGAUAUCGGAGACUGAGUAGGGUUGCGUUAUCGAGUGCGAUUAUACUCGAUGGAGUCUCUGAUAGUUUUAUGUUGUAUUUCAGAGACAUCAUGGUUAGACCACGCCACGGAGCGAGUUCGAGCGGUGUGAGUGACGAGGAGAUUCGUCAGAUGAUUCACGAGGAGGUAGCUGCGGCGAUCCGGGCUGAGAUCCCGGAGAUGUUUGGGUCUAUUAAGACCACCCUGAUGGAGACGUUCGAUGAGCGGUACGCCGCAUUGACUGAGGCUGCAACCGCUGCAGCUACCGCAGCUGUGGCCGCUGCUAGGCCACAGGGGGGUGACUCGUUGCUGUUCCGAGAGUUCAGCAACACGAAGCCACCAGAGUUCGAUGGGACGCAGGAUCCGAUUGCUGCGAUGAGGUGGAUCGCGGAUAUAGAGGGGUGCUUCUACACUUGUUCAUGCCCGGAGCACCUGAGGGUACGGUUCGCUUUGAACCAGCUCCGUCUGGGAGCGAAGGACUGGUGGAAGUUCGUGACGGCGAACUUCACUUUGGCAGAGACUACAGCAGUGACAUGGGAGGGGUUUACUGCCAUGUUCAGGGAUGAGUACGUUCCCCCGGUGGAGAGGGAACGAUUGGUUCAGGAGUUCUUAACCCUCAAGCAGGGUACUGAUUCUGUUGCGGUGAUCACGCGGAAGUUUCAUGAGAGGGCGAUGUUCUGCCCCGAGCUGGUGUCCACUGAUCAGGCUCGGAUGAGCCGGUACUUGGGAGUGUUGAGGAGGGAUAUCCGGGAGUUUGUGUCAAACUCCACUUACCAUACUUUUGCUGAGCUUCAGGCGAAUGCCAGGAAGCGCGAGAUCGAGUUGGAGACCCAGGCCAGGGAGGAGGCCGAGUCUCAGCGGGUGAACCGGCGACCGGCUCAGUUCCAGCCGGCAGCCAAGCGGAUAAAGUCCGCCGAUGCGAGCAAAGGAGGUUCGAAGGGCCGCACUUGCGGAAAGUGCGGCAAGGGUCAUGAGGGGGCGUGUCGAUCUGGUGCUUGCUACAAGUGUGGCAAGGAGGGGCACAUUGCUAGGGAGUGUCCCAAGGGAUUUACGGUUUGCUUUCAUUGCAACCAGACAGGCCAUAGGAAGGCCGAGUGCCCUCAGCUUCUUCAGGGAUCUGCACCUGCUGCCGGAGCUACUGCGACUCGACCGGUGAAGGCCGAGGCCCCGAGGGCUCGGGGGAGAGCCUUUCAGCUGACUGCGGAGGAGGUCCGCGCUGCGCCCGAUGUCGUGGCAGGUAUGUUGUAAUUCAUGUAUUUAUUUUAAUGUCGAGAUGUUAUGCUUAUGUUAUUAUAUGCGUAGGUACUUUCCUUGUGAACUCUGUGCCUGCCUUAGUGUUAUUUGACUCGGGUGCGAGUAGGUCCUUUGUGUCCUUAGCCUUUAGUCAGCAUAUCAGCGUUAGUCGUGAGUCGUUGAGUCGACCUUUGAGAGUUUCUAUAGCUGACGAGAAAGUGAUUUGUGCCACGGAGGUUCUUCGGGGAUGUGUACUAGAGAUUUUCGGGGUUGAAUUCCCGAUUGACCUGAUUCCUAUUGCGAUGGGUGAUGUCUGUGUCAUCGUGGGCAUGGACUGGUUGAGCCGAUUCGGCGCUGUCAUCGACUGUGAGCGUCAGUUGGUGACUAUACGAGACCAUAGUGGGGGAGUUCUUUCGGUGUACGGCGAGGGUACCCGUUCGGGAUCAGCUUUUUGUUCGGCCGCUAGGGCGAGGCAGUGUCUACAGCAGGGCUGUAAGGGUUUUGUGGCGUAUGUGAUGGAUACGCGGGAGGUUUCCGAGAGACCGAAGUCAGUUGAGGAGGUCCCUGUGGUGCGUGAGUUUCCAGAUGUUUUCCCCGAGGAGCUGCCGGGAGUACCUCCUGUGAGGCAAGUAGAGUUUGGUAUCGAUCUGGUUCCGGGGGCCGCGCCUAUUGCUAAGGUGCCUUAUCGUCUUGCACCUCCAGAGAUGCAAGAGUUGUCCUCGCAGCUCCAGGAGUUGCUGGGGAAGGGAUUCAUUCGGCCGAGCAGCUCGCCGUGGGGAGCACCUAUUCUGUUCGUCAAGAAGAAGGAUGGUUCACACCGGAUGUGCAUUGAUUACCGGGAGUUGAACAAGUUGACGGUCAAGAACCGUUACCCGUUACCGAGGAUCGAUGAUUUAUUCGAUCAGUUGCAGGGAGCAUCUUGGUUUUCCAAGAUCGAUCUGAGGUCAGGGUACCAUCAGGUGAGAGUACGGGAUGAGGAUGUCCAGAAGACAGCGUUUAGGACGCGAUAUGGGCAUUAUGAGUUUGUGGUGAUGCCUUUUGGACUCACCAAUGCCCCGGCUGUGUUCAUGGAUCUCAUGAACAGGGUAUGCAGGCCGAUGUUGGAUCGGUCAGUGAUUGUAUUUAUCGACGACAUUCUGGUGUAUUCGAGAUCUAGAGAGCAGCAUGAGGAGCAUUUGAGGGAGGUCCUUGAGGUAUUGAGGUCGGAGAAGCUUUAUGCAAAGUUCUCCAAAUGUGACUUCUGGUUGCGGGAGGUCCAAUUUCUAGGACAUGUUGUUAAUCAGAAAGGGAUAUUGGUCGAUCCGGCCAAGGUUGAGGCGGUGAUGAGUUGGGAGGUGCCGAAGUCACCUUCUGAGAUCAGGAGCUUCCUUGGGUUGGCAGGGUAUUAUCGGAGAUUCAUCAAGGAUUUCUCCAAGAUCGCAGUGCCACUCACCAGAUUGACCCGGAAGGGUGUUGCAUUCUCAUGGGGGCCCGAGCAGCAGACCUCCUUUGAGACACUUCGCCAGAGGUUGUGCGAAGCCCCGGUAUUAGCUCUCCCAGAAGGGAUGGAAGAUUUUGUGGUAUAUUGCGACGCAUCGAUUUCGGGACUGGGUGCAGUGUUGAUGCAGAGGGGUCAUGUGAUAGCUUAUGCGUCGAGGCAGCUGAAGCCUCAUGAGGCGAGAUAUCCCACGCAUGAUUUAGAGUUGGGGGCAGUAGUGUUCGCUCUCAAGAUUUGGCGUCACUACUUGUAUGGGGUUCGAUGUACGAUAUACACGGACCAUAAGAGCUUGAAGUAUUUGAUGGAUCAGCCCAACCUAAAUAUGCGUCAGAGGAGGUGGUUGGAUGUGGUCAAGGAUUAUGAUUGUGAGAUCCUGUACCACCCAGGCAAGGCUAAUGUGGUAGCCGAUGCAUUGAGCCGCAGGGCGGAGAGCACUCCAUUGCGAGAUGUAUGCUUGAGACUGACUGUGAUGACUCCAGUAUUGGAUGCUAUUCGUGGGGCACAGGCCGAGGCUGUGCGACCAGAGAUGCAGAAGAAAGAGCGGGUUGUGGGGUUAAUUUCAGAGUUCGUUAAGGAUGGACGAGGGCUUAUGACGUUUCAGGGUCGGAUUUGGGUACCGUUCGUGGGCGGUACGCGUAUUACUUUGAUGGAAGAGGCUCAUAGAUCGAAAUUCUCGAUCCAUCCCGGUGCUACGAAGAUGUAUUUGGAUUUGAGGAAAGAGUAUUGGUGGCCCUGUAUGAAGAGGGACGUGGCAUGGUUCGUUGAGAGGUGCUUGACCUGCCGUAGGGUUAAGGCCGAGCACCAGAGACCGCAUGGCAAGUUACAGCCAUUGGAGAUCCCCGAGUGGAAGUGGGAACAGAUCACUAUGGAUUUCAUCACCAAAUUGCCGAGGACUGCCAGGGGAGUUGAUGCAAUUUGGGUGAUUGUGGAUAGGUUGACGAAGAGUGCACACUUCCUUGCCAUCAGCGAGAGUUCUUCAGCGGAGAAGUUGGCGGAGAUAUAUGUGAGAGAAGUGGUAUCUCGGCAUGGGGUGCCGAUCUCGAUUGUUUCAGACCGUGAUGUGCGUUUCACUUCCAGGUUCUGGAAGAAAUUUCAUGAGGAGCUGGGUACUAAAUUGCAUUUUAGUACCGCAUACCAUCCCCAGACAGACGGUCAGAGCGAGCGGACGAUUCAGACGCUGGAGGACAUGCUUCGAGCGUGUGUGUUAGACUUCGGGGGUAGCUGGGAUGCAUAUUUACCCUUAGCAGAGUUUUCCUACAACAACAGCCAUCAUUCGAGCAUUGGUAUGCCACCUUUUGAGCUGUUGUAUGGUAGGAGGUGUCGGACCCCCAUUUGCUGGGGAGAGGUGGGACAGAGAGUGAUGGGCAGCACAGAGAUCGUGCUUCAGACGACAGAGCAGAUUCAGCAAGUUAGACAGAGGUUAUUGACCGCCCAGAGCCGACAGAAGAGUUAUGCAGACAGGCGCCGAUCCGAGCUUGAAUUUCAGGUCGGCGACUUCGUUCUCCUGAAGGUCUCUCCUUGGAAAGGAGUGAUUCGAUUCAGGAAGAGGGGCAAGUUGGGGCCCCGGUAUAUUGGGCCAUUUCGUGUGAUUGCAAGGAUAGGCCGGGUAGCCUAUCGGUUGGAGUUGCCAGCGGAGUUGGGACAGAUCCACGACACUUUUCAUGUGUCGCAAUUGAGGAAGUGCAUAGCCGAUGAGUCGGCAGUGGUUCCAUUAGAGGAUAUUCAGGUGGAUGCGAGCCUGAAUUAUGCCGAGAGACCAGUGGCCAUCAGGGAUCGGAAGAUCAAGGUUCUGAGGAACAAGGAGGUACCUCUGGUGUUGGUUCAGUGGCAACACCGUAAGGGAUCGGAAAUGACUUGGGAGCCGGAACGUGAGAUGCGGGAGCAGCAUCCGGAACUAUUUUCAGAGUGAGACUUCGAGGGCGAAGUCUAAUCCUAGUGGGGGAGAGUUGUAACAGCCCGGAAUCUCAGGUAUUGUUAAAUUAUGUUUUUGGGGUGAUUUAAGAGGGGACUCGGCGAGUUGGAGCCUAGACUCGCCGAGUAGGAUCGCAGACUUGGUCGCGGGUUCGCGACUGGACUCGACGAGUCCAGAUAUGGACUCGGCGAGUCUACGCUGUUUAGCGAAAACCCUAACCGUUCAGGUUUGGGUCGUAUAUAACGCAUUAUAUGCCGUCAUUGUUCGUCUUUUAGUCGAUUGAGAAGAACCCUAAGCGGCUGUGGGCAUCUAGAGCAAGAUUGAAGGCCAUUGGUGACUUGAAGAAAUUGUGGUGCAAGGAGGAGAAGAGUUUUGGCUAAAGGAACUGCAAGGGAUUCGAGUUCUGAGGUUUGGGGACACAGAGAGUGCGUUAUUCAGGUAACAUUUCGGAUCAUUUCUGUUAUAUUGAUGUGUGCAUGGAUCUAGGGUUUAUGGAACCCAUUUGGUGAUUAGAUGGAUUAUUACCUUGUUACCCAAACGAAUAUAACCCUGUAUUAGGACCUUUAGAGGUCCAGAAGGUCCCAUGCUUGUGUAUUUCGGAACCAUACUUAUCCCAGGAUGCAGUUUGAGCGGUUGCAUGGCAUGGACUCGCCGAGUUCGAUGAACAGACUCGGCGAGUAGCUUGAAGAUUAACUGGGACUCGUCGAGUUGUUCUUCAGACUCGGCGAGUUGAGUCGGGGUGGCCCCGCGAUUCUUCCAGGAGUAACUCGUCGGGUCAAGGAGGAUACUCGACGAGUAGAUAGGGACUCUCAGAGAGUUGGAGGACGUCUAGACUCGCCGAGUCGCCAUGGCACUCGCCGAGUCCGGUCGAGUUGACCGUUGACCGUUGACCGUUGACCAGAGUUGACCUAAGUCUGACUUCUUAGGGAUAGUCACACUUAGAAGAUAUAAGUGUUAAUGAGAGAUAUGUGAUGUUAUAGGGAGGUUGUAGCUCGUCGGAUUGUGCACGAGUGAUUUCAGGAUUUGCUAGCUUUUAGCAUUUACGAGGUGAGUCUUCUCACUACACUGUACCCGGAAGGGUUUGACUGUGUGACCGGAAGGUCAGGUAUGAUAUGUGAUAUGUAUGCCAUAUGUAGUAAGUUAUUUUUUGUAUGUGCUAUGUAUGUUAUGUGGGCCGGAAGGCAAUAUGUUAUGGGCCGGAAGGCGAUUAUGCUAUGGGCCGGAAGGCGUUGUGUUGAGGACCGGAAGGUCAGGGCCUGGAAAGGCGUAUGUGCGUAAGUGUAUAUUGGGGGACUCACUAAGCAUUUAUGCUUACAGUGGUUAUGUAUGUGUUUCAGGUACUAGCGAGGACCGUGGGAAGGCGCCGACGUGAUCGAUACACACUGAAGAAUAUUUUUAUGAUCUUGGGAUUUAGACAGUUUGUAAUUGACAUGACACUUAAAUUAUUUAUGCCUUGUUUUGGAUGAAAUUACUCUAAUUAUAAAAAAGAAAAAUUUGUUUGAAAAUUUGCGUUGUUACACUUUCCAUAUGUGUUAAUGUCUAUUUCAUAAAUAAUUGUUUAAUGUUAAAACGUUGAUAUUGAUUUUUUUUCAAUAAAUCCGUAUAAAACACGGGUCUCACACCUAGUAAUUAUUUAAGAAAGGUUAAUCCCUUAUUUAUGCAACAAAGUUUAGUCAUUUUCCCGAUUUACGCAAUUAUGUUAAUUUUUUAUACAAAACAUACAACAGUGCUUUAAAUUAGGUUCAAUUAUUCCAACUUGUUAAGUUGUUAACCUAUCUAGUGUUCACUUGUGUAGAAUAUACUGAAUAACACUUAGGCAUCAUAAAUUUUGUCAUCUUCUAGUUAGGGCUAUUUUUACUACUAAGGCUAAGGGGAGUGGUACAAAUUUUACCAAUGUUAAAAAGUUGCCACAUAAGCGCCACCUAAGUUUUUGCAGUUUUUACAUUUUUUUACCUACGAGGUAGGGUGUGGUGAUGUUUUUACUUACCAAUUUUUUUAAUUCAAAAAUAUAUAUAAUUACAUACACAUAAAAAUUAAUACUAAUUAAAAU
rnacentral:lncRNA from 1 species